UACGAAGGGGGCUAGCGUUGAUCGGAAUUACUGGGCGUAAAGGGAGCGUAGGCGGUUAAUUAAGUUGGAGGUGAAAGCCCCGGGCUUAACUUGGGAAUUGCCUCUGAAACUGGUAGCCUAGAGUAUUGUAGAGGGAGGUAGAAUUCCAUGUGUAGAGGUGAAAUGCGUAGAGAUGUGGAGGAAUACCGGUGGCGAAGGCGGCUACCUGGACAAAGACUGACGCUCAGGUUCGAAAGCGUGGGGAGCAAACAGG
rnacentral:rRNA from 1 species